GUGUCCUUUGUGACAGGCCAGCCGGGCAGAUUCCUGGUCACCAAUGGCCAGGAGUAUUGCCUUUAUGCAGAAGGAGCCACAGACGGGGGAGGCAGGUGACUUGACCGAGGUGGCAUGGACUUGGGCUUUGGGCUCCCCACCCCGCCGUUAGAUUGGAGGAAGGGGCCGUGGUGGUUGUGGGGUCAAUAUGGCAGGUGCAGGUCGGGGGGGGGGGGCGGACGCUGAGCUCGGGCCUCUUCCCCAGGAAGGCCCCUGUGUGCUGCCAGGGCCUGGUGCCACCCCGCAGCUGGCUGUGCGAGCACCGUGACCUUCUCCACGCUUGCUCGGCUCCUUGGAUCAAAGUUGGUCCGGAGGUGCCUGGUGACGGGCUGGUUCUUCAGAACAAUCCAGCACCGGGGAGGCAACGGUAAGUCCCGCGUGAUUUUACUUCAAUGCAAUUGUUAACACAAUUACGACAGUGAACACACGAGCCGCGCAGAAAAUCUGGAAACAGAAAAGAACAAAGAGAAAUUAGCAUUAGCCCACUGCCCACAAAUGACCACCGUCAAUAUUCUCUUGGAGUCUUCAUUCGGGGCAGACGUUCUAGAAAAGCAUGGUCACCCUGGCCCGAGACUUUUCGUACUGUGCUCUUCCCGCUUAGCAAUGUAUCUGGAACAUCUGUCCUGUCAAUAAAUAUUAUGCUGCAGCAUGACUUAA